GUAGGCUCAUUCAAUGUCUGGAGCACACGUUGGGCACUCCACCUCGGGUACUCCGAAGCUGCAUGGAGCUUGGAGGAUAGUGGUGGGAUGGUACUAGACCCCUCUCUCCAUUCCUGCAACUGUGGUGAAUUAAAAAAAAAGACCACAUCCUUGGUCAGCUACACCAUACCAGAUGGCCAAGAAACAGAGGAAAUGUGGCAGGGCAGAUUCCCUUGGAUUUGCCCACAUGGAGUUUGGAUAUUUACCUGAUUUCCUUGUCAAGCCUUGGGCCUGAUUCAGGUAAGUGUGGUAGGGCCCUUGGACUUGCAAGGGGCCCAUGUAGACAGCGGUCCUCGAGCUGAAGCAUUUGUGCCGAGCAAGAAAUCUGUAGUGUUCCACACCCUGCGGCCGAGUAUGUAGAGCUGAGCAACAUGAUGCCCCUUUGUCAUUCCAUGAAAGGAGACUCCAUGGAAGAUGAUGGGAUUUCUCUGUUUGUGAUCAUUUUGCCUGCGUGUCCGCUACAGAUGAAAUGAAUGACACGACUAAACCCCAGCAGCCUCUGCCUCCAUCACAUCUAGAGGAUGACAUGUCCCUUGGGAUUUUAGAGUGGCCCUAAGCACCCUAUGCCACCAGGAGGGAUUCCUUGGCUUGUGAAAAUACUAUUUUCUCUUCCUGCCUUUGGGUGACCAUUAAAAAAAAAGCCAGAGCUUGAGCAGAGCUCCGCACGGGGUGUCUGGCCAAAAUGCAAAGUCGCACCGCAGUUUGCAGGCAGACGCUGUUUUUCAAGAGAGGGAGCAGAGUGCCGGGCCUUUCAGCACCUCUCCCGGCCACUUCUUCAAAAGAUGAUUUAAAUUUGAGGCAAUGGGCCCGAAUGCUGAACGUCCGACACCCAGACAAGACCUAAUGAAUCAUACCCUUGACCAGCACGGCUCUCCUCCAGCCUCUGAGCUUGGCGGCCAUGGUGGUGUUUUGUUUUGUUUUUCCUCCCCCACAGAAACUUUUUUUUCCUUCCACAGACCAUGUGCUUGUUAGCAGUGGCCCAGGCAACUCUUUGUAUUUGUAACACGGAGAAGACAUCCAGGGGGAGUCUACAGCCCCAAGUGCAUGCUUCUUACCCGUGGGUCUGAGUUCCACACGGGAAGGUCAGUGGUCUUCUGGAGAGACUCUUCUUAGAACCACAUCCCUACAUAGCCUUGUUGCAUAAUAUAUAACCGCAACAGCCAGAUGUUCCCAACUCUGUAGCAUCGAGCUUUGUCAUGACCUAAGUGAUUCUAAAGGACACAAUGUUCCCAGCUGCUUGUGGAUGGAAGUGCUGGGGCUUGGGGCAGGGCUAGGGGGAUGAGGUAGUUCUAAGUAUUGAGUAGAAGUAACAAUCCCCAGUGUGAGAAAUUUCUCCAUAAGGGGCUGUGGGAUGACAGACUAGUGCAUAGCUUACCUGAAAACUGGAGGAAUACCAUGUGACACUGUCCCUGGUAAGAUGUGAGUAAAUGUCCAUUCACACCAGAUAGGGACCUUACAGCAGCCCAAAUUAACCAUCCACCACAGUGAAUUUACUACCUUGGUGAAUCAGCGAGUUUGUUAUGGUUAUUUACAAGAGUAUGGGGAAGGGGCCUACGUACAGGAGUGUGGAAAACUCAAAGACAGCUGCAUCUCUGAAAGCCUACCACAGUGUGCAUGACAACUCAAGAAAACUGGAAGCCUGGAGCUCUCUGCAUUGCUUGAAGGCAUUUGAUGUUUUCAUGGAUAACUUUUUGUCAGCUUGACACAAGCGAGAGUCACCUGAAAGGAGGGACCUCACCUGAGGAGAUGCCUCCAUAAGAUCCAGCUGUAGAAUAUUUUCCUAGCCCAUUGUGGGUGGUGCUAUCCCUGGGCUGGUGGUCCUGGGUUCUAUAAGAAGGCAGGCUGAGCAAGCUAUGUAGAGCAAACCAGUAAGCAGCACCCCUCUAUGGUCUCUGCAUCAGCUUCUGCCUUCAGGUUCCUGCCAUGUUUGAGUUCCUGACCUGGCUUCCUUCAAAGAGGGCCUUACAAUUGUGGAAGCAAAAGGCAAAUAAACUCUUCCUCCCAAACUUGCUUUUUGGUUAUGGUGUUUCAUAGCAGCAAUAGUAACCCUGACUAAGACAAGCUGGUACCAGGAUACUGGGGUACUGCUGUGAUGGACCUGACCAUAUUACGCUGGGGAGGAUUGUGGAAGGACUUUGGAACUUUGGGCUAUAAAAUCCAUUGACUGUUGAGAGCUCAGUGAGCUAUUCUUUAGGACCUUGGAAGAUAAGAAUGUUGAGAAUAGUGAAGAUGAUGGAGGCCAGACUUGUGAAGUUUCAGAGGGAAGCAAAGACUCCACUAAGUCUUUUGUGUGAAGAAUCUGUGGUGUCUGGUUAGCUGGAGUUGAAGAAUUGGCUGUGAUUAACAAGAGACCAGAAACACUAAAGUUAAACCUUUGCUUUUCUGGGACAAUGGACACUGGUCAGCUGGGGCUGAAGAAUCAGCUGUGAUUAAGAAGAGACCAGCACCACUGAGGUGAAGUCUUUUGGGAAGUUUUGCUCAGGGUCAGCACACAGAAGCUGUAGUCCAGAAGUGGCGAAUGCAAUACCUCAUGCUGGCAGCCAAACUUGGUAGUGUUAAGGCUCACCCAGGUGGCACCGGUUGUGAAGGCAUGAAAAGGUCAUGGAGAGCAGCUGGGCUUGGCAUUGUGUGGCAGGGCUGGAGUACCUGAAGAAAGACCAGGGGAGGCUUUUGAUGAAAUAGAAGUCCAGUUGCUACAAAAGACCCUUGCAUCUUUGGGGAUGCCACUACCAUGGAGUGACCGAGAACAGCAGCAGUAGUGGAGUGGAGCCUAGAAGACAGACUGUGUGUGCUGCAGAGGGCAGAGCUGGAGAAGGGACCAAUGCCCCCUUGGAGGAGCCCAGAACACUGGGGGCGAAUCCCAGGUCCCUCAGUCUAAUGUCUCACUAGAACUGGGCUUAGACUGGAAUUGAAAGGCCAUGUCAUGAUCUCAUCUGAUGAGCUUUUCUAACUUGAUUCAGACUGCCUAAAAGUCAUUAACUUCUCUAAAUGCUCUUCUGGAGGUGGGAGUGUCUGAACACAGGUUGACAAGAGCUCAAGUAGGAUGGAGGGCAGUAGAGAUGACAAGCCUUCACACCAUCAUCCGACAUCAACAUUUAUAGAAUCAGGAUGACAGGGAACACGAUUCCCUAUCAUGAGGAUGAAGAGAGUACUGGAGAGACGCUCAUUUGCAGUUCUGUUCUGGACAUGGCAAACAUCACUUAAGCUCAUCACCAAAUAGCAAGCUGGAUACCAGUUGUUCUUGUAUCCUGGGAGUGGAGAGAAAUAAGAUAGCUGCAAAGAAACAUCAUGUGACACGAGAAAGAGCAUCAGGAGUGGAGAGGGAGAGAGAGCAGAGCUGAUGCUGAAGCAGCGGAGUCCGUGAGAGGAGGGAGACUGCUCAGUCAUGCUUUGCAAACACGAGGACCGGAGUCUGAUUCCCAGAAUGCAUGUGGCAAUGCCAGGGGCAACAGCGUGUGCUUGUAACCUCAGAGACGGAGAAGUAGGGAGAGGUGGGUCUUUGGGGCUUGCUGGCCACGCAGUCUGGCCUACUUGGAGAGGGCCAGCCCAGUGAGAGUGAGACUGAGAAAAUAAAUCCAUUUCAAGGAUGCUGACAUAAAACCACACAUGAAAAUCAUGGCAACUGCACAUAUGAACUCAUGUACAAGCUCCACCCACUCUAGCUGAGGAAAUUUUGGCAUUGGAUAGACGCUGGGAGAGGGAGUCAGAUUUCUUUAAUGAUGAGACUGCUGGUAGGUUGGCCACAGGCCAGGUCAGGCCCCAUACCCAAGAGUAGUUGUGCAACAUAAGCUGGACUUGAUAGUGAAGGAAAAAGGAAGAAAAUUCAAAAUUGGGUGAGUAAGGGGGGAGUAUAGAGAAGGUGGGUGUGGGAGGAGUUGGGGGGAUAUAUGUAAUCAAGAUACACUGUAUGGAAUUCUCAACGAAUUAAUAAAAAUAUUCCUUAAUAAAGAAAACCAUGGCAAAAUCUA